AGUGAACGCUGGCGGUAGGCCUAACACAUGCAAGUCGAACGGCAGCACAGUAAGAGCUUGCUCUUACGGGUGGCGAGUGGCGGACGGGUGAGGAAUACAUCGGAAUCUACUUUUUCGUGGGGGAUAACGUAGGGAAACUUACGCUAAUACCGCAUACGACCUACGGCUGAAAGCAGGGGAUCUUCGGACCUUGCGCGAUUGAAUGAGCCGCUGUUGGAUUAGCUAGUUGGCGGGGUAAAGGCCCACCAAGGCGACGAUCCGUAGCUGGUCUGAGAGGAUGGUCAGCCACACUGAGACUGAGACACGGUCCAGACUCCUACGGGAGGGAGCAGUGGGGAAUAUUGGACAAUGGGCGCAAGCCUGAUCCAGCCAUACCGCGUGGGUGAAGAAGGCCUUCGGGUUGUAAAGCCCUUUUGUUGGGAAAGAAAAGCAGCAGGUUAAUACCCCGCUGUUCUGACGGUACCCAAAGAAUAAGCACCGGCUAACUUCGUG
rnacentral:rRNA from 1 species